rnacentral:rRNA from 1 species
UAGGGAAUCUUCCACAAUGGACGCAAGUCUGAUGGAGCAACGCCGCGUGAGUGAAGAAGGUUUUCGGAUCGUAAAGCUCUGUUGUUGGUGAAGAAGGAUAGAGGCAGUAACUGGUCUUUAUUUGACGGUAAUCAACCAGAAAGUCACGGCUAACUACGUGCCAGCAGCCGCAGUAAUACGUAGGUGGCAAGCGUUGUCCGGAUUUAUUGGGCGUAAAGCGAGCGCAGGCGGAAUGAUAAGUCUGAUGUGAAAGCCCACGGCUCAACCGUGGAACUGCAUCGGAAACUGUCAUUCUUGAGUGCAGAAGAGUAGAGUGGAAUUCCAUGUGUAGCGGUGGAAUGCGUAGAUAUAUGGAAGAACACCAGUGGCGAAGGCGGCUCUCUGGUCUGCAACUGACGCUGAGGCUCGAAAGCAUGGGUAGCGAACAGG